rnacentral:rRNA from 1 species
AGAACCGCGAAUGGCUCAUUAAAUCAGUUAUGGUUCCUUAGAUUGUACCCACAUUUACUUGGAUAACUGUGGUAAUUCUAGAGCUAAUACAUGCAAACCAGAGUUCCAACCAGAGAUGGAAGGAACGCUUUUAUUAGAUCAAAACCAAUCGGUGGUUUCGGCCAUCGUUUACYUWGGUGACUCUGAAUAACYUUUAGCUGAUCGUAUGGUCUCGUACCGACGACAAAUCUUUCAAAUGUCUGCCUUAUCAACYGUCGAUGGUAGGUUCUGCGCCUACCAUGRUUGUAACSGGUAACGGGGAAUCAGGGUUCGAUUCCGGAGAGGGAGCCUGAGAAACGGCUACCACAUSCAAGGAAGGCAGCAGGCGCGCAAAUUACCCACUCCCGGCACGGGGAGGUAGUGACGAAAAAUAACGAUACGGGACUCAUCCGAGGCCUCGUAAUCGGAAUGAGUACACUUUAAAUCCUUUAACGAGGAACAAUUGGAGGGCAAGUCUGGUGCCAGCAGCCGCGGUAAUUCCAGCUCCAAUAGCGUAUAUUAAAGUUGUUGCGGUUAAAAAGCUCGUAGUUGAAUCUGUGUGCCACACUGUCGGUUCACCGCUCGCGGUGUAAACUGGCAUGCUUGUGGGACGUCCUACCGGUGGAUUUAGCUUCGGUGUAACAACUGAAGCGGUCCAAUAAUCCUGUCGCGGUGCUCUUAAUUGAGUGUCGAGGUGGGCCGGUACGUUUACUUUGAACAAAUUAGAGUGCUCAAAGCAGGCUAUUUAUCGCCUGAAUACUGUGUGCAUGGAAUAAUAGAAUAGGACCUCGGUUCUAUUUUGUUGGUUUUCGGAAUUCCGAGGUAAUGAUUAAUASGGACAGAUGGGGGCAUUCGUAUUGCGACGUUAGAGGUGAAAUUCUUGGAUCGUCGCAAGACGAACAGAAGCGAAAGCAUUUGCYAAAAAUGUUUUCAUUAAUCAAGAACGRAAGUUAGAGGUUCGAAGGCGAUCAGAUACCGSCCUAGUUCUAACCAUAAACGAUGMCAGCUAGCGAUCCGCCGAAGWUYCUCSGAUGACUCSGCSGGCAGCUUCCGGGAAACCAAAGCUUUUGGGUUCCGGGGGAAGUAUGGUUGCAAAGCUGAAACUUAAAGGAAUUGACGGAAGGGCACCACCAGGAGUGGAGCCUGCGGCUUAAUUUGACUCAACACGGGAAACCUCACCAGGCCCGGACACCGGAAGGAUUGACAGUAUUGAUAGCUCUUUCUUGAUUCUU